GCAGCCGCAAAAUCGGUUGCCGGGAUUUGCACCCCGGAUAUCUAAAAGGCGACAACGACGCGCCAGCGUCUUUUUU
rnacentral:sRNA from 1 species